GCCAUGGCAUUGGGCUUGAAACAAGUUACCUGUUGCAUUCAGAAGAUGUACAGUUCCAAUGGCUGGAACAGAAAUGCACAUACUACCUUGUCCUGAAAACCCACUCCAGAUUUUGGAUUUGGGACUGGGGUGGUUUUCUGUGACAUACAAUGACCAGAUACGUGACUUAAGCCUAUCUGCAGGAUCUUGCUGGGGCUUUAUUUUUAAUAUUGCAUAGUGCCCUGGGGCAGUGAGCUUUGCAACAGCUGUGGGCUGUGGUGCAGGGGCUGGCUCUAGGAGGAGCAGGAACCACUGGAUUCACAGCCCCCAGCAUCGCUUGGAUGGCCUUGGCACACCAAGAAGGACACUGAAAUCAAGAAGUGAUGGCAAAGGUCAUCAGGCUGUCAGCAUCAGCAAAGCCUGGGCAGAAGCUUACCCCUUCAUUCAUUAGUGAGAAACUGGAGUGACAAUGCAGCCUUUUUCCAUGGAGCAUUUGUGGCCCCAUCCACUGUCCAUUGUAUUGAUUUGAAUGAAAUCUACACACAUACUCAGAAUUAGCCACUUUGCCUGGUGCCCUCAGGAGAGAGAGUUUCCUCAAGUGGGGCCAAACAUGUACUUUGUACAGGGCAUCUUCUGACCCAGAAGGUCACCUAAGGCUUCUGAGGGACUCUGAGGGGAUAUUUUUAAUUGUUCAAAGUCUUGUUCUGUUUUCAGGCUCAGCAAAAUGACCUUAAAGUGUGUUUGUGUAAAUGCACAAGGGAAAAUCUGGCCAAAGAAGAAGCUUGUUACUCAUUGUGGAUCAGAUCCUGCAACUAUGGAGUCAGACUGAGUUUUGCUAUUGAUUUCAGUGGGCACAGGGGCAACCUGUCUGGCCAUUUUGAAUGAAUAAAUUUUAUUCCAACAUAGAGACAAAAGUAGCUGGUAUUAAAUUGAGGUCUUUUUGCUGAUGUGAUAUAUAUAAAUUGUGAAGUUAUUGUAUGUUUUCUUAAAUUAUAACCUCAAAGUAGAAGAAAAUUUUCAUCCUUUCAAUGGAAAUCCCAGCAUAGGAAAAGAAGCACAAGUGGGACCCAUGUAAAUGCCAGAUUACAGAAGUGUUCCUGCGUUUGGCAGCUUUGGUACUGUAGUCUCCAGGUAAGGUGUAUUCUACAGCAAACUCUGUGUCAUGUUACUAGCUACUCUCUGGUGGUAGAAAUUAUCUACUUCUGGCCUGCUUCCACAUGAAAUUAGAUUUUUGUUGGCAUUGCUUCAUCUGAUCUUAAAGUAUGUUUUUUUUUAAUGUUUGUUAGCAGGUUUUUUUUUAAUGAUCCGAUGCAAAUUUGUUUUCAAAAACAAAUGGAAGAGCAGCACUACAUCAUCCCUUUGCUCUUUGACAAGAUCAGAGAGGGGAUGGCAUCAGGACCACCUCUCCCUACCCUCCCCCCCUCCCCCGCCCCCAAUCCCAGCAGGUUCAUGGGCUGGUACUCUGCAAGUCUAGGUGUUAAACCUAGAGGUAUUAAGAAAUGCAGACUGAAAAUUCAGAUAUAUAUCCUGUCUUUACUUUGUUGCAGGAGGAAGCAUUUUUUGCUGCAGGUCUGAGAAAGAGCAGGCUGGCAUGGAGAAAGAGGUAUGUGAAGCAAAAGCUGAGCUUUCCAAAGAGAAAAAUUAAAGGGACUAUUCUUAGCAUUGCUAUUUCAUAAUAUUAUUUGUAGUGUGAUGGGAGGGAAGUCAGCAGACGCAUAGGCUCCUUUAUAGCAUUGACAAGUCAAGGAGAUGAUUAACGAGAGUACCAGACAAUGUAAUGGUAGGAGAAGGCCCACAGAAGUUAAACAAAAGUGCCUUCAGAAUUUAGAGAAUUCCCAUGAUCCAUAGUAGGAUCUCAUUGUGCUUGUCUACUGUUUCUAUUUUUGAUUAGAUUUAUAAACACAGCACCACAUAUUUUCAUGUGGCUCAUAGCCCCAGGGCAGAGUGAGAUUGACUGCGCUGAAACUGUGAGGCUUGUGAAUUUCGGGCAAGGGAUGGAGUGAAAUAAGUAGUGUAAUUGUUUUUGUGGAGUGACCGUGGGACCUCUUCUGUUCUGAAUUACACAUGGUUCAACCCUUUGACCCAACCAACCUCGGCAAUGCCUGGUAGAUCUCCUAAAGCUGUGCUGAAAGGUCCUAUCAGUGACAUGUGACAGGAACAUUAUCUGUCAUGUGAGAUGUGUGCCAACAACCAUAUUAAGCUACAUUAAUUACUAGUGAGGCCAUGUUUGUGACAAUCUCAACUUCAUUUAACCCAUCAUCAUGUUAGUUAUUGUUUAAGCAGGAAGUACAAAUGGGGACAAUUUGUGAAAUCAAAAUGCAGCACCAAUGUUUUGUUUAAUAAAUUGUAUGUUUUAUUUCCCUUCUAGUUUUUUUUUUUUUUCUCUUCCUGGCAUUUUUGUUCUUGUCAUCAGCUCUGUAGUUUGAGUUUUUUGAGGGCUUUUCUAUUUUAAGAGCAAGCAAUAAAAAGACUGCUUCUUAGUAACUGAGCUAAUACACCAGUGAGAUUGUUGUUUAUUUCAGUGCAAUAGUAAAUGAAAGUUGACUGAAAGCACCAAUUUGUUUUCUAGCAAGAAGCGAGGGUGCUAAGAUAGUUUGUGUAGGGCUGAAAGAUCACACGUGGGUAACUUGCUUGAUGUGCACCCUCACUGAUUUAUUCUCCAGCUAAUGAGGCUCUGUUUGGUCAUGCUUGCACACCUCUGAGCAUAUGCAUGAAUGGAGUGUUCACUUCUUUUUAAUUGUAUAAAAGCAAUUUUCUCAUAGGUCUGACCGUCUAGGUAGCAAAGCUUUCUGUGGGUCCUCAAAAGGCAGUCUGGUAUGUAGAAAUUCUGAAGGAUUCUUAGCACAUGUUUGCUUUCUGAAGCAUUUCUGUGUUUUAUAGGGGAAGAGGCAAAAGCCCUCCCACGUGCUGCUGCGUGGGCAGCGUGCAGGUUCACUCAUGCCUAGCUGUGCCUGGUGUUCUAUUAGACUAGACACACAGGGUCACAUUUUCCACCUACACACCGAGCUGCUCUUUUACGACAAACCUUUUCCUUUGGCCUCAUUGUCUAGCUAGAAUAAACAAAGACUGGGAUGAUUUAUUUAUUUAGUUUUAUUUAUUUUUGAUUGCUGCACAAUCAGCUAAAAAAAUCUUUGACCCUUCUAAGUCUCAUUUGCUUUAGCAAUGAAGAGUUUGUUCUCUGCAAAAUCUAACAUGGAGUGCUUAAAGCAGACAGGUGCAAAUGCCAAGCUGUUUCUCUUUGGCUGGCAUCCCUUAAAUAGACAAAGUAAUAGUCUGGGAGAAAGGAAAAGGUUCCAGCUCCAGCUGCAUAAAGGAAAGCCUUAACAGGGACUUAGCAGCUGGUUGCAAGAAUUAAAUGCUGUAAAUUCCAAGUAAUGCAUUUGUGUGCAUGUGAAUGUAUUCACAGAGGAAUAAGUGCUUAGUGAAGCUCCAUCCCUUUUUAUGCAAGAGGAUCAUUCUUUGAAAACUGCUCUGCUUUUCCUUGAAAGGCUAAUGCUCUCACUGAAGUGAAUGAGAACAGAAGCCAACAUACCUGUUCCUGUUUACCAUCGUUACACUCCUCAGAGCAUUUCAGGCAUUAUUAGGUUCUUGGAGCCCUACCAGAUUGACAAUAUUUCCAGCUACUUCUCUUUUGGCUGUAUUCAAACAAGGCCCCAAAGGAAAAAAAACAACAACAAAAAAAAAAAAAAAA
rnacentral:lncRNA from 1 species